CUUCUUUUGUUUUUUGUUCUUUGCUUUUAAAAGAAACCCAAAAAGAUUUCUUUCUCCUUUUGUAGUUUUGUUCUUUUGAAGUUGUUUGAGAAAAUAAUAAAAUAUUUCUUGGUUCUUUUUUGCUUUUCUUUUGGAUGUUUAUUUGAUUUCCUCUUUGUUGAAACUUUGGAAAUCUUUUAUCUUUGCUUCUCUUUGCAUUCUUGUUUGCCUUAUUUGAGAAGAAACAAAAAUUUCAAAUUAUUUUUGUUAUGUUUCUCUGAGUUCUUUGCCUUUUGUGAUUUAGAAAAUCCAAAAAUAUUUCUCUUUCGUUGUUCUUUUGUUUUCGUUUGUUUUUUUGGCUGUUGUUUUUGGCUUUUCUCUGUUGUUUUCUUUUUGUUGUUUGUUUCGUCUUUGCGUUUAUUUAUGUUGCAAAACUUACAAAUUCCAAAAAUAUUUCUUGUUUGCGUCUUAUUGAGUCUUAAGUAUUGUGAACCAAAAAUAUUUCUGACUGGCUCUUAUCUGCUUUAUUGUUGAACUAAUGAAAAGACCAAAAAUAUUUCCCUUGUCUUCUCUUUUGUACAAAUUGUCCAGUAGUAAACCUGCAAAACCUAUCGAUAGAGAACCAAAAGAAGCAGCUAGUAAACAUUGAAGUCGCGUAAUCUCGAGUGUAGUGAGGAGGUCAACUGAAGAGGUUGACGAAGAAGCACAAGGCUAUGAGUAAAAAUUAAAAGAAGUAGGUGUCGAAGUCGUGCAAUCUCUGUUCCUCGUCGAUCCGGUUUGGCGUCCUUCCCCUGGUUGCAGGUUCUGUGCCACGGACUUGAAGUUGCAUCCCAUGUUCCCUUUGGUGGCCCUUGGCCUCGGUGACAGGUAGCGUCGUGCACACAUCUUGCGGGGUAAGAAUGUUGAGGAAAUCGCUAUCUGGUAACUGCUCACUCAACUUGGGAGUAGUGAUUAAUCGUUGAAUCGGCGUAUUAACCGGAUUAACCGGUCAACCACUAAUUAGUGGAUUUUUCAACUCAAUAGAAGCAAAUUUUGUAUGGAGGGAAAAUCUACAUUGCAAAUAGGAGGCAAAUGGCACCGUUUUCUUUUCUCAAUAGACCACAAACAUGUAUACAACAACAAUCAUCCAUGUGGGCAUCAAAAGUCAUCAACAAACAUUUAUACAACAUUUUUUGCUAAAUUCUGCCCGUGUCGCAACUCUAAGAGAUGGUGGCCACACGAUGACGACAGACAGAGGGAAGGUGACGGCCUUCGUGAAGGGCAUCUGAACGGGUCGGUUGCAGUAGGUGUUAUGUCACGAAGGAGGGGAAGUAGCGGUGCGUAGAGGGAGAAGAGGAAGCGGCGACACACAUGGGAGGAGGGAAAGUGGCAGCACGCCGACGAGGACUUGGUCGGCCGCCAUCUAGGUCGGGAGGGGAUGAAAGGAGCAAGAGGGGUGACAGGAGGGCUAAACCCUAGCUAUUUAGGAGCGGGAGGGUUUAUGGGCCAAACAAUUGGGCUUUGUUUGCCCACAAAUUAACAUGCCAACAAUGAUUAAUCAGCCUGACAACAGAUUAGUCGGUCUAACCGACCAUUUAAUCGGUCUGGCAAGUUAACGUGAUGAAUAUACAAGUGAUGGGAUGAGCAUAGGGAGGAAGGGAAAUGAGACCCCACAUGCCGGUGUGUUCAAGAGCAGCAAUCUCCUCUGCCAUCGCAUGUCGCCGUUCGGGAUGAACAUGGCGUCACGGUAUGUCGUAUUGUGAAGAGCAGCACUAGAAUACCCAUAGCGAUCAAUAUGCGGAAGCGGGCGAGCGCAGAAGCCAUAAGUAGGAUGAGCUAGAGGUGGUGCAUUGCUAACAAAAGAAGAUAUAAUAGUCGAGGGAGAUGGCUCAUCGAAAGAUGACACAUUAGAAGAAUCCACAACAUGCGGAUGACUAGUGCAAUAAAGAAGAGGAUUGGGCGGGGAAGUCUUAGGGAAUGAACGAGGUGGGGAAGCCGCGGGUGACGAUGAUGUGGGGUCUACAACAGUAGUACAAGAAGACACAUGGGAAUGGAAGAGGGCAAUACGUGAGUGAUAGGACACAUCAACACGAUUAUGGUUGGUGAGUUCAUGCUUUUCAGGAUAGCACGCAAUAUUGAUAGCAUUUGUACUGUUUGACAAAGGAGGAGUAGGUCUAGUGACAAAAACAUCAAAAUCCUCAAGCAACCAUCGUAACCAAGUCACCUCUGUUGUCAACAGAGGUAUAGCUUGCAACUUAGCCUUUGCACUCAAAGGGAAUAGCGCAGUCUGUUUCUUUGUCUUUUGGGCAAUGAGAAAACCAUCAAGAAAACACAGUAAGUACAACGGGACGAGCAAACUUGUGCAUAGGAAUAAGGAGACGGUGAGGUAGUUCCACAAAGAUAUUGUAGAACCGGGGGAGGGGGUGACUCAAAGUGGAUUAAAGUGGGAGCAAAGACAAGCUGACUUAGAAUGAGAACGUGAUAUGAAAUGUCUGGACGAGUGACAUCUAAAUACAAGACUCCCAACAAGAUGACGAUAGCGUGUCAGAUCAAACAAAGGUGGACGUUGAGCUCCAUGGCAGUGUCAAUAGUGACUUUAUCACUAAGCAGCAUGAGCAAGAAGAUACUGAAUGUACUUCUCUUAGGAAAUAAAGAAGCCAUCAGAGGUAGAAUAAACCUCAAUUCCAAGGAAGUAACAAAGAGGACCAAUAUUAGACAUAAAAACUAUUCACUAAGAUGAACCUUCAAAAAGGCAAUGCACUCAGAGUUGUUGGCAGUGAUGAUCAUGUCAUCGACAUAUAGAAGCAAAGUUUGACCCUGAGUUGAAAGAUGGUAUAAAGUGCAGAUCAUAAGCAUUUGGCAAAAACUGGUCGCAGUUAUCGCUGAGACAAAACACUCAAACCGGAUACGAGGGGCUAAAGGCAUAGAGAGACCAACAAAGACGCCAAAUCGUGCCAUCAGGAAAAAAAAUCUAGGUGGUGGCUACAUGUAUACCUUCUCAUGCAACUCACGAUUAAGAAAGAACAUAAGUAGGUUGAGCUGGAGGAGGUGCGUUGUCAAUAGAAGGAGACAUAGUAGUCGAGGGAGAUAGCUCAUUGAAAGAUGACACAUCAGAAGAAUCCACAAGAUGUGGACGACUAGUGUAGUAAAGAAGAGGAUGAGGAUGAAUCACCGGGGAAGGCUUAGGGGAGAUAGCUCAUUGAAAGAUGACACAUCAGAAGAAUCCACAAGAUGUGGACGACUAGUGUAGUAAAGAAGAGGAUGAGGAUGAAUCACCGGGGAAGGCUUAGGGGAGAUAACUCAUUGAAAGAUGACACAUCAGAAGAAUCCACAAGAUGUGGACGACUAGUGUAGUAAAGAAGAGGAUGAGGAUGAAUCACCGGGGAAGGCUUAGGGGACGAACGAGGUGGGGAAGCUGCAGGUGACGAUGAUGUGGGGUCUACAAUAGUCGUAUAGGAAGACACAUUGGAAUGGAUGGACAAGGGCAAUAUAUGAGUGAUAGGUGUAUCGGCAAAAGCUAGGAAAGAAAUAUCCUCAAUGAGAGAGGCUGAAGGAGAGAAUCGAUGUGGAUAGGAAGGCUCAUCAAAAGUUGCACUCGGAGGAAUGCUUAUCCGCCGAUCGAUACGAUCCCAACACUGAUAGCCCUUGUGCUCAUCAGUAACCUAAGAAGACACAUUCAAUAUACUAAGCAGUCAUUUUGAGGGGCAAGAAGAACGUGUUAGACGCAACAAAACAAACGAAGCAAUUGAGUAGCCACGUGAAUGACCAAAAAGACACUCAAGAGGAAUAUCGCCCUGCAAAGCAAGGAAGGCUGACUGUUGAUGAGGUAGGUGGAUUUAGAAACAACCUCAACCCAAAAGUGAGGUGGAAGACAAGCGUUGAUCUUCAAUGCACAAGCUGCCUCAAGAAGGUGACGAUGCUUAGCAAAUAAUUCUAAGCAUCAGGACCACGACAAGAGAACUAAGAAAGUGUGCCCUGCUCAACAAGGAAUCCGCACAACAAAUGAUUGAUAAACUCGCAAGCAAAAUCUGCAUGGAAGGCAUAGAUAGGAGUGGAAAAUUGGGUAUGAAGCAUGGCGGCAAACUUCUUACUGAUAGAUAAGACCUCACUAGAAGAAAAGCAUAAAAUAUAUCCAUGUGUGUCUAGAGAAAUCAUCUAUAAAGAUAAUAUAGUAGCGAUGUCCUCCUUUUGAGGCAAAGGGAUCUGGACCCCAAACAUCGAAGUGAACAAGAUCGAAAGGACGAUGAGACACAAUCUCUCUAUGAGGAUAAUGUAACUUAACCUGUUUGCUAAGCCAACAAACCGACAACCUAAAGAUAAACCGCUAGAGACAGAUCCAAGAAGACCACGUCGAACUAAGGAUGGGAGACUAGAGCCACACAAGUGACCAAGACGAUGAUGCCAAAAGAGUCGGUAAACAAAGUAACCGAGGCGAAGAGACUGGCGGUGGUGGCAACAAAGGGAAGGUUAAGCCAGAUAAGCUCCCAAAGGACCUGGGAAUUACAAGGUUGAAGGCCAACACCAAGUAGAGCAUUCGUGUGAGGAUUCUAAUCAGAACAUGAACAUGAGAAUCUGGAGGUCAAAUGGUUGACAAACUGGAAGAAUCAUAAGUUAUAUGAAAAUACGUCCAGUACCAAGGAUCCAUGGAGAUGUACCUGGUUUUGUAAAAAGUGGUCACUCGGUACAAGAAAAAUUAGUAGCAAAACAUGUUGAUGUUGAACCAAAAGAAGCCACAAGUAGAUACUGAAGUCGUCUAACCUCCGGUGUAGUUAGGGUCUCAACUGAAGAAGUUGACAAAGACGUACCGGGCAAUGAAACUAGAAGUAGGAAGUAGGUGUUCUGUUAAAGAUCGGAAACCCAAAAGUAUUUCUCGUUCUUCUUGUUUGGUUUCAUUUGGUUUUUGAUCUCUUUCUUUUGUGUUCUUUAUGGUUUUUUUCCUUCUUAUUGUUUCUUUUAUUUAUUUGUUUGCUUUUACAAGAAACCACAAAACAUUUCUUUCUCCUUUUUUUCUUUUGAAGUUCUUUGAGAAAACAACAAAAAUAUUUCUUCGUUAUUUUUGCUUUUUCUUUGGAAGUUUAUCUGAUUGCCUCUUUGUUGAAACUUUGGAAAUCUUUUAUCUUUGCUUGUCUUCGUUUUAUUGUUUGCCUUCUUUGAGAAAACAAAAAAAAUCAAUUUUUUUUGUGUAGUUCUUCACCUUUUAUAUUUAAAGAAAUCCAAAAAUAUUUCUCUUCCAUUUUUCUUUUGUUUUCCUUUGUUUUCUUUUGAUUGUUCUUUUUGGCUUUUCGUCCUGUUUCUUUUUGUUCUUUCUUUUGUCUUUGUGUUUGAGUUCCAAAACCCAAAAAUUGCAAAAAGAUUUCUUGUUUGCGUCUUAUUGAGUCUUGAGUGUUUAAAGUGUUCUUUUUGUUCUUUUUUCUUCCUAUUUCUUCUUUUGUAUGUUUGUUUGUUGUUUUCAAGAAACCCCAAAAUAUUUCUUUGUGCUUUUGUUCUUUUGAUGUUGAGAAAACAACAAAAAUAUUUCCUCGUUCGUUUUGCUUUUUCUCUGGAAGUGUAUUUGAUUGCCACUUUGUUGAAACUUUGAAUAUGUUUUACCUUUGCUUGUCUUUACGUUCUUGUUUGCCUUCUUUAAGAAAAAACAGAAGUUCCAAAAAUAUUUUUGUUGUGUUUCUUUAAGUUCUUUGCCUUUUAUGUUUCCAGAAUCCAAAAACAUUUCUUUUUCGUUGUUCGUUCGUUUUUCUUGUUUUCUUUUGGUCGUUCUUUUUGGCUUUUCUUUGUUGUUUUCUUUUCAUCGUUUCUUUUGUCUUUGUUUUUAAGUUGCAAAACCCAAAAAAUCCAAAAGAUUUCUCAUUUGCUCUUAUUGAGUGUCAACUGUUUGAGGUGUUCUUUUUGUUUUUCUCUUCCUAUUUUUUCGUUUGGAUGUUUGUUUGUUGUUUGCUUUUAAAAGUAACCCCAAAAGAUUUCUUUGUCCUUUUGUUCUUUCGAAGUUCUUUGAGAAAACAAAAAGAAUAUAUUUCCUUGUUCGUUUUGCUUUUUGUUUGAAAGUUUAUUUGAUUGCCUCUUUGUUGAAACUUUGAAAAUCUUUUAUCUUUGCUUCUUUGUACACUCUUGUUUGUCUUAUUUGAGAAAAAACAAAAAUUCCAAAAAUAUUUCUGUUAUGUUUCUUUAAGUUCUUUUUUGCCUUUUAUGUUUCCAAAAAUCCAAAAAAUAUUUAUGUUCUGGUGUUCUUUUGGUUGUUCUUUUUGGCUUUUCUUUGCUCUUUUCUUUUUGUCGUUUCUUUCGUCUAUGUGUUUAAGUUGCAAAACCCAAAAAUUCCAAAAGAUUUCUCGUUUGCGUCUUAUUGAGUCUCAAGUGUUUGAAGUGUUCUUUUUGAUUUUUUUAUUCCUAUUUUUUCUUUUGUUUGUUUGUUGUUUGCUUUUAAAAUAAACCCCCAAAUAUUUCUUUAUCCUUUUGUUCUUUUGAAGUUCUUCGAGAAAACAACAAAAAUAUUUCCUCAUUCAUUUUGCUUUUCUUUGGAAGUUUAUUUGAUUGCCUCUUUGUUGAAACUUUGAAAAUAUUUUAUCUUCGCUUCUCUUUAAGUUCGUUUGCCUUCUUUGAGGAAAAACCAAAAUUCCAAAAAAUAUUUCUAUUGUGUUUCUUUCAAGUUUUCUUUGCUUUUUAUGUUUCUGAAAAUCCAAAAAUAUUUCUCUUCCGUUGUUCUUUUGUUUUCUUUUGGUUCCUUUUGGCUUUUCUUUGUUUUCUUUUUGUCGUUUUUUUGGUCUUUGUGUUUAAAUUGCAAAACCCAAAUAUUCCAAAAAGAUUUCUCGUUUGUUUCUUAUUGAGCGUUAAGUGUUUGAAGUGUUCUUUUUGAUUAUUUUUCUUUCCUAUUUUUUUGUUUGCUUUUAAAGGAAACCCCAAAGAUUUCUUUGUCCUUAUGUUCUUUUGAAGUUCUUUGAGAAAAUAAAACAAAAUUCUUGCUCUUUUUCUUUGAAAAGUUUAUUUGAUUGCCUCUUUGUUGAAACUUUGAAUAUCUUUUAUAUUUGCUUCUCUCUGCGUUCUUGUUUGCCUUCUUUGAGAAAAAAAACGAAAGUUCCGAAAAUAUUUCUGUUGUGUUUCUUUGAGUUCAUCUUUGCCUUUUAUGUUUUCGAAAAUCCAAAAAUAUUUCUCUUUCGUUGUUCUUUCGUUUUCUUUUGGUUGUUCUUUUUUCUUUUCUUUGUUGUUUUCUUUUUAUCGUUUCUUUCGUCUUUGUGUUUAUGUUGCAAAACCCAAAAUUUGCAAAAAGAUUUCUUGUUUUCGUCUUAUUUAGAUGAACUGUUUGGAUGUUAAUCCCCUCUUGAAUACUUCUUCGUUUUUUAUCAAAUUUUAGUCCUUGAUGAUUCUCACUUGGAUUAUUUGAGGUUCUCUAGAAACUAGGAUUAUCACAUAUGUUUAAGCAUUAGCAACUUAUCUGUUUAUCAAUCUUCAUUUAUAUGAUCUCUCCUUCUAUUUAAUUUCUUCAUCUAUGUUUUCAACAAUUCUGGUUUGCAUUUGUGUCCUUUUGCCUAGAAAUUUGGAUUAUACAUCUUAACGGGAGCGUCUUCAUGAUGAGUUAGGAUUAUAGUUAUCCUAUUUCAUUUCUUUGUCUUCGGGGUUUAACUUUGUCAUGAAUUCUGAUUUGGAUUUGUUGGUGUUCUUUGAAAAUUGGAAUUAUAAGGGUUAUGUUUUCUUUGGAUGCCACAUAAACGGAGGGUAGUAGUCACGUAGAGAUGAAUCAAUGGUUGGAGAGGUUUUGUUUUUGUUAAUGGCUAGUUUGACUUUGAUGAUCUCAUUUUGGUAUGUAUGUCAUCUUUGGAUGCCACAGAAACUGAGGGUAGUAGUUCCGUAGAGAUGAAUCAAUGGCUGGAGUGGUUUUAUUUUUGUUAAUGGCUAAUUUGAUUUGUUAUGGUUCAACAGUUUUUUUAUUUGGUCAGAUCUUCUUGGAUGAUGUUUUGGUGUUGAACUGGAGUUUAAUUAUUUGGAUAAUAAUCCCUUUUGAUUACUUCUUGUUUGCAUAGUAUAAUUUAGUCCCUUAUGAUUCUUACUUGGAUUAUUGGUGGUUCUAAAUACGGCUUGGUGGGAGCAACUUAUUUGUUAAUCUAUUUUGGAUGAACUAAUCUUUAUUUAAUUUGUUCUCAGCUUUCACCUUGUAUGUAUCCCUUGCAUAUGUAGGGUUGGGUACUCUCCGAUAUGCAUAGAGAUCAGGUUCUUCAAGGGCAUCAUCAUAUUCUUCACCUUCUAAAAAUUCAGCGUCCUCUUGUUGCCGCCAUCGUCAUUUUCCUCCUCUUCAGGCGGUGUGGCGGUCUUCCCCUUGGUAGGAGCGCGGCGAGCCGCAAUCACCUUCACUGGCUCCAGCUCAAGUAGUGCUACCAUCGCUGGGCUCAGAGCUUUCCCAAGCAGCAAAGGUAUGGAUAGGAAGGCAGCGAAAGCAGCAAACUACUGCAAACAUCAACAAGUCAAGGCAGGAUGAAGAAGAGAAGAAAAGCCACUAUGAAUCUUAAGGCCACACGGCCCCGGGCUCGAGAACACUUGCGUCACUUGAGGGUUGGCAGCGCUAAAAGGCUCCAUUGCGACAGUGAGCGGAAUUUUGUUUGACCCUAGAUCUUUUAGGGUGACGAUGCGGGCUCGCAGCUUGUCGUUGCUGAGCUCUCGUGCCGUUGCCUGAGUCGGAUUUUAAGGCCCCAUGUAUCUUGGGGUGAGCCCGAGUGGCUGGACUCGCCGCUCGAGAUACAUCUCCAAGACUUGCUCCCCGGUCAGCCCGUGGUCGAUCAGGCUCUCCACCGCCUUGAUCAGCCCCCGAGCAUUGCUAGAUGUCUUCUUCAUCGGCUUCCAAGAUCUCUCAGAUGCUUGGGUGGCUCAUUGAUGAAAGGCGGCAGAUCUCCCGCGAGCCCCAAAGCAUAGAACCCUUAUGCCAGUUGCAGACUGACUUCGCCAAAGCAAUCUUGAAGUAGUUCGAUUCAAGCUGGAGCUGGAGGUUUGGCGCCUUCAAGGUCGCGGAUAUCAUCGCCAUUCUUCUAGACCUUCACCAGGAAGUAGUAUCAAAAUAACUCGAAGUUUGGGUUUGUCCCGAGGAAGCAUUCGCAAAGGGUGAUGAAGUUGGCGAUUGGAGAAUGGCGUUGGGUGUCAAAUGAUGCAACUGACACCCGUAGGAGAACAGAAGCCCGCGCACAAAGCUGUGCAGAGGGAAAGCCAAACCUCGACAAAAGAACUGCUAGUGCAACACUUGCUUGUGCCGACCGACGCCAGGAUGGCCUCGGUCCCCGCCGUCAUCCAUUGAAGUACCUCCCAAGGCAGCAGAAAGUUGUCUUCAACCAACGCAGUGGAGAAGAACCACUUGUCCGUGGUCUCGCCCGCCUUCUCGUUGGCGGAAGCGUUGUCCUUCCACUUGUCAGCGGUGGUGGCCUUGGGAAUGCUCCGGCCACGACCUCGACCACGGUCUCCCUCAACUCACACCAUCAGCGGCUCGCUUGGGUGGAGAAGGAAAGAAAGGGAGGGCUUGAGGAGCAAGAGCUUGCGACGAUGGCGGUUCCGACGGGGGAGGGAGAAGCAGUAGCGGAAUCUACGAGAGGAAAAGAGGAAGUGGGGAAAUGCCUCUCUCCCCCCUCUUUAUAUCCCAUCGGGAAACCCAAGCAACGGCUUUGGCAGGUCGACAACUGCCCCAUUUCCUUUGCGGUUUCUCACUACGCAGGAUGUGGGCGCGGAGAUCCAGGCAUUAUCAUCAUGAUGCAGCGGUCAAAGCGGAACCGACUGGCUAUCUCCCUAUCUUUACGACAGUGAUGACGGGAUGUGACAAAGCGAGCGGCAACGACGCCUAGGUUCCUAUGGCUAGCAAUUGAUUUGAAGAAGACUUGACACCGGAGGCCGCACAGCCAUGAAGCUGUGAAGACGCGACGCCGAAGGCUGUGUAGCCGUGAAGCCGCAACAUUGCAAAGACGCAUACCGCGAAGCCAUGAAGGUGAAAGAUGCAAAACCGCUAGAUCGCGGCACCACAAAAUCAAGAGCUACGAAGCCAUAGAGAUGCGUCGCUGGAGGCCGCGUGAUACGUAGAUUUUGAGGUCGGGCUACCGGGAGCUAGACUGUGUCCAUCACUAAGAAAGAGCCUGCCUGGAUUUCGUUCUCAAGGCAGCAAGACUCCACAACUCCAGACAAGCUCGGGCGCUACCGACGGUACAAUAUACCGAGGGUGGCCCGUCUGCCGGGAAGCUCGAGACUUGGCUGGCUUCAGGGCCCAAGAGGCCUAGCGGCAGCCUUACCCAGCGAUCGGUCCAAGGGUCCAGGCUUGGAGAUAAAAUUUAUCCUUGGCGUGCAAGCCAAGAAGCUCUCACAAUGAGGUCGGUUAGGAUCCCUAUCAACCCUAGCUCUCAUCCCCUUUAUAAGGCGAGGCUAGGGGUAGUCCGAGGCAUCUGUUCCAUUGCCCAGACCUCGGUAGCAUUCAUUAUCCUCCACUUGUAACCCCCUCGCACGAGGUGCUGCCACAUCAAUCCAAAACAAAGCAGGAGUAGGGUACUACCUCGAUCAUGAGGUCUAUGCUUUUAAGGCGUCGCCUAAGCGUCGCCUAGUCGUCGCCUAAGCGUCAAGGCGCCCCAGGAUGGCAAGGCAUCUACCCCGCCUUAGACAGACAUGAAGUGUACGGUUGUGGAUGCCCUAGUUCUGGCUGCUCCUGGGGCUUGGAGAUGACGGCCCCGCUGUCUCCCGGCACCAUGAAGAGGAGGGAGGACUGGGGGCUCCUGGGGCUUGCUGCUGUGAGGGAGAAGGGUGGGGCCAUGAAGAGGAGAGGGGACUGGAGGAGGGAGGGAGGGCCAGAAGGGUGUGGCUUCGUGGCGGCUGUGGUGGGAAAGAAGGGAAGGAGAUAGUGGAAUUAGGUCACGGGGGUGUAUAUGGCCACUAAAUGGGCUUUUGGGCCACUGGGAGGUGCAUAAGUAGUGGCCCAUCUCUCAGCCAUUGCUCUUUUUCUAGUAUUAAUAUGUGCAGACCUAUUAAUAACUCUAUUCCUGCAAUGUUUAAGGCGUCGCCUUGCCUCGCCUUACCGCCUCGCCUUGGCACUUAGGCGUCAGAGCGGCCCUCCUCCGCCUUAUGACGCUUUACCGCCUUAAAAACAUAGCAUGAGGUCUCAAACCUGGGUAAAACCCCCGUGUGAACUCCCUUUACUUCCGACUACUGUCUCCACCCUAACGGGGGCACUGACGGUUUUCUGCACCAUCAUUGGUACUCUGGUAGUGAGUUGGAAUCUGUUUAAAUCGUUUGGUUUGCGAUCUAUCUCUCAAGGUUUGGUCCAUUAUAUGUACCCUUGAUCCCCAUGUUGGUCUUCUGCGCUUGUCGGUUGCACGAUAUAUUUAGGAAGUUAGAGUUGUGGAUACAAACCUUGGAAUGCUUAGUAGAACUAAAACCGAGUACAUAAUGUGCGGUUUCAGUACUACUAGGUGUGAGGAGGUGGAGGUUAGCCUUGAUGGGCAGGUGGUGCCUCAAAAAACACCUUUCGAUAUUUGGGGUCAAUGCUGCAGGAGGAUGGGGGUAUUGAUGAACAUGUGAACCAUCGAAUCAAAGCCGGAUGGAUGAAGUGGCGCCAAGCUUCUGGCAUUCUCUGUGACAAGAGAGUGCCACAAAAGCUAAAAGGCAAGUUCUACAGGACGGCGGUUCGACCCGCAAUGUUUUAUGGCGUUGAGUGUUGGCCGACUGCGACAUGUUCGACAGUUAGGUGUGGCGGAGAUGCGUAUGUUGAGAUGGAUGUGUGGCCACAUGAGGAAGGAUCGAGUCCGGAAUGAUAAUAUACGAGAUACAGUUGGGGUAGCACCUAUUGAAGAGAAGCUUGUCCAACAUCAUCUGAGAUGGUUUGGCCGUAUUCAGCGCAGGCCUCUAGAAGCUCUAGUGCAUAGCGGUCGGUUAAAGCAUGCGGAGAAUGUCAAGAGAGGUCGGGGUAGACCGAAUUUGACAUGGGAUGAGUCCGUUAAGAGAGACCUGAAGAAUUGGAGUAUGACCAAAGAACUAGCUAUGGACAGGGGUGUGUGGAAGCUUGCUAUCCAUGUGCCAGAGCCAUGAGUUGGUUGCGAGAUCUUGUGGGUUUCACCUCUAGCCUACCCCAACUUGUUUGGGACUAAAGGCUUUGUUGUUGUUGGUCUCGUGGGCAAACCUUUGCUCUGUAACUGAGUCAGGUCAGUGCCUUUUCGGUGGUUUGUUCGAUUCAUUUGUGUUGGCCUCCAUGCGUUGGUUGCAGGACUGAAUCUGGUAUGUGGAGAUCAUGUCGAUGGGGGUUUGAGGAAGGUCUGAUUUGAAGGGCCAUCUCCCUGUGGUCUUCUGUUCAUGAGUUCCAUCAUUCAUCAUUUAAUAGGAGGUGGAUUCAGUGUCCUGAUUUAUUCUUAUUGUAGCAGUUGAUCUUGCUUUUGGUAUGUGUGUAUGUUCUCCUUUACUUGCAGCAGAAGCAGGAGGGUAGUAGUUCUGCAGAGAUGAAUCAAAGGCUGGCGAGGGAAAACACACAACAGCAUUGGUACACUUUUGCUCUGAGCUGUUGCAAGAAUUAACUUCUCUGAGGGAUCUUCUGCUCCUUGAGGUACCCUGCAAAUUUCUCAGCAGUUGCAGCCAGAGGUCCGGUGCUGACCAUAGCUUCAAGCCCGGGGCCAGGGAUCCCUAGCAAAAGCAGCAAACCGUUACUCGGUCAGUAUGCACAUGGACGACUUGAGGAUUUUUUUUUUGAAAGCAUACGAGUUGAGGAUUGAAGGGUGGUUUCUGGAUAUCUGACCUGGAGCAAAUGUGAGCUCCAAGAUGGUGCCGACGUCGCCGUCGCCGCUCACGAGCUGUAUCUUGGCGAGCACCUGCGGGAGAAGCUCUGGCAGCAGCUCGGCCGCACGGAGCGUGCCGUAGAGCCCCCAUAGCUCGGCGGCGGGCACAUCGGCCUCGAACUCGUGAACCUUGUUCCUCCUCAUCGCCAUGGACUUGAUGGACUGUAAUGCUUGGCGCAGAAAGCAAAUUCCCUUGCCUACUCUAAUUCUCUCUGGAAAAGCAUGGUCAUGCUCUCAAAAUUGAGCAUCUCCCAGAGGCCAGCAGAGUGCUCCAUUCACCGCUAGCGCGCCUUUCACCGCUGGUGGCAUGUCCUUGAUGGUGGGGACGGCCGGUGAGGAAGAUGGAGCCAGCGGCCGGCGAUCAUCGGCAUGGGAUUUGUUGCUGCACGCUAUGGUUAUGUAUUUGUUUUUCUUUUUGGGGGAAAGGGUUUUAUCCCUGGUUUCUUUACGAAAUCAUAGAUGUUCUUACAGAAUAUGUAAAACGGAAACAAUUUUGGAACCAUCUGUUUCAACAGUGUGACAAAAUAUAUCCAAUAUCCCAGUUAUAUGAAGAUCUCCUUUUGGGGAGAUCAAAGUUUCAUUUCA